GAUAUGUGAACACGUAAAACCAUACCUGUGGAACCUAGAUGCCUCACUUCUAUGGAAUGCAAACAUUGAAUCCAGGUAAAUAAGGAAAAAUAAGAGCAAAGGAGUUUAUGGUUCCUCAGCCUGAAGGUGGAUGCUUUCAACCAAUCGGCUUUGUGACUUCACCUCUGGGGAAUUGUAAUUUAUGCCAAAGAGUAAUUUUGGUCUUUUGAAGUAAUUUUCUCCUUUUGGUGGCAUUUAUCAUAUGGGUCAUGGACACAAAAGUAAAAGUCAAGGCUGUCCCAGUGACUAAAAGCCACCAUAGGAACAAGUAGGGAUGCAUCUCACAGAGACAGCGGUUUCCUUCUUGUUUGAUGAACACCUGGAAGAUUCCCAAAAUAGU